GCAGCUGGUAGCGGAGUGGUCGGAGUUGCCGCUGCCUUUGGACCCGAAGGUUGCAGGGCCCUGUUAUAUACCCUGUGAUCGACCGGUGUCCCAUCCAGCACGUACCCCACAUAGCCCCGGACAAGCGGUUAAGGAAAGCUUGUGAGCAAGUGAGGGGGGACUCCAUAAUGGUCGCAGCAAGCCGCAGCCUAACCCGGCAGCACAGGGCACAAGGCCGGAGGGGGAGGGGACACACCCAAGACAGGGCACCAGUCUGUCACAAGGCACCCCAAGCAGGAUUCGAACUCCAGACCCACCGGAGAACAGGACCCGGCCAAACCCGCUGCACCACCGCGCCCUUGUAGGAAGUGGCUCUUGAAUAAAUCACUGGGUAGGUGCCUUGAUCAGGGGUACUACAGGAGGAGGUGGGAUUUGGCCCUGGGUCCUUCGAGUACAAGACAGCAGCUCUAACUUCUGCUCUCCCGCUGACCUUCAACAGUUAAAGUGUGUCCACCCCAGACCCC
rnacentral:lncRNA from 1 species